rnacentral:lncRNA from 1 species
AGGGCUGAGGGCUAGGAUUUCAACAUGUUGAAGAUCUCAGAGCUUCAUUGAUCGAACGUCUUCCUCUCAACCACACACACUGACCAUCAAACCAUCAAAGAUCACACAGGAUCCCACACCUAUGGAUCAGGCUUCCAGGAACCCGGAGAGUUACCGGUACAUGCUCACAAAGCUCUUAAACAACACAGAGUGACGGCAUUCUCUUUUAAAGAAUCCUUGUUUGGAAACCACGUCCUCUCACAAGGUUGUCAGGUCUAGUGGCAUAUGGAGUCUGUGCACCCAGGUGAUGUCAAAGCACCGUGCCACUCUCCGACUCUCAGCCCCAUCUGAUGACCAUCUGUACCCCUUCUUCAAAAGAAUCUCUCUCUCUUUCCCUCUCUCACCCCCCUCACCAUCCAGACAAAUGCAUUAUUAACUCUCUCGUUCAGUUGACAUCCGAGCGAUUUGUUUCAUCCUUCCAUCGCAAGGAAGAGAGGAAAAAAAACUGCUGCGUUCCAUUGUUCACCAAUGAUCCCCUUCAGGCAUCUAAUUAUACAG